UCCCUGGUGGCUCAGAUGGUAAAGAAUCUGCCUGCAAUGCAGGAGACUCAGGUUCGAUCCCUGAGUAGGGAA
rnacentral:tRNA from 1 species